GGGAGUAUGGCCUAAUGGAUAAGGCGCUUGACUUCGAAUCAAGAGUAUAUGGGUUCGAUCCCCAUUACUCCCU